CUUCCGAGCUUCUGAUUGCGAACUCGACAUUUCAGAAGAGGGAGGAGCAUUUGGUCACCUUCAAGAGUUCGGCGCUAGGGCUUCCGAUCUUCUGAUUGCAAACUCGACAUUUUAGAAGAGGGAGGAACAUUUGGUCACCUUCAAGAGUUCGGCAGCGAGGACUCAGAUUGAUUACCUCCUCCUCAGAAGGAUAGAUAGGGGUAUGUGCAAGGACUGCAAGGUUAUUCCAGGAGAGUCCCUUUCGACUCUUCAUAGACUCCUAGUGAUGAAUGUCGGUCUCUGGGUGAAGAGGAAGAGGAGGGGUGCUCGGGGACAAUCGCGGAUUAGAUGGGGUGUUUUGA
rnacentral:lncRNA from 1 species